GACUUGAGGUUUUAAUUUUCUUCCCUUUUAGUAAUAUUUUCAGUAUGUGUUAUGUGUGUUUAAGUGGGCGUGUGUGUGUGUGUGUGUGUGUAUUUAUAAGAAGAUAGCUCACAGAGGGGUGGCUGUGGUGACUGCUUCCCCAUAGGGCAUGCUUGUCACGUGCCAGGAACUUGCUACAUCCUUUUACAUAACUCAUCUCCAUCAGCUCCCUGAAUCCUUCUAGCCACCCUGGGAGGCUGCCCUAAGGGCAUGACACUGUGUCCACUCACUCAUAUCCCCCUACUCUGGACUGACCAGGACUGGAGCACUGGGUUGUGGUCUUCAGUUGCAGCAAGAGGGAUUCUGGUUGGAUCCCAGGAAGUACUUCCAGCCAAUGUGCAGAUGUCUUGGGAGAACAAAGCCACAUGCAGAGCAAAGGAGAGAGUGGAAACCCAGUCCAAUCCAUGCUGA
rnacentral:lncRNA from 13 species